rnacentral:rRNA from 1 species
UAGAGUUUGAUCAUGGCUCAGAUUGAACGCUGGCGGCAGGCCUAACACAUGCAAGUCGAGCGGAAACGACACUAACAAUCCUUCGGGAGCGUUAAUGGGCGUCGAGCGGCGGACGGGUGAGUAAUGCCUAGGAAAUUGCCUUGAUGUGGGGGAUAACCAUUGGAAACGAUGGCUAAUACCGCAUAAUGCCUACGGGCCAAAGAGGGGGACCUUCGGGCCUCUCGCGUCAAGAUAUGCCUAGGUGGGAUUAGCUAGUUGGUGAGGUAAUGGCUCACCAAGGCGACGAUCCCUAGCUGGUCUGAGAGGAUGAUCAGCCACACUGGAACUGAGACACGGUCCAGACUCCUACGGGAGGCAGCAGAGGGGAAUAUUGCACAAUGGGCGAAAGCCUGAUGCAGCCAUGCCGCGUGUAUGAAGAAGGCCUUCGGGUUGUAAAGUACUUUCAGUUGUGAGGAAGGGGGUAGCGUUAAUAGCGCUAUCUCUUGACGUUAGCAACAGAAGAAGCACCGGCUAACUCCGUGCCAGCAGCCGCGGUAAUACGGAGGGUGCGGGCGUUAAUCGGAAUUACUGGGCGUAAAGCGCAUGCAGGUGGUUCAUUAAGUCAGAGGUGAAAGCCCGGGGCUCAACCUCGGAACUGCAUUUGAAACUGGUGAACUAGAGUACUGUAGAGGGGGGUAGAAUUUCA